AACGCUAGCUACAGGCUUAACACAUGCAAGUCGAGGGGAAACGACAUUGGAAGCUUGCUUCCGAUGGGCGUCGACCGGCGCACGGGUGAGUAACGCGUAUCCAACCUGCCCACCACUUGGGGAUAACCUUGCGAAAGUAAGACUAAUACCCAAUGACGUCCAUGGAAGACAUCUGAAGUGGAUUAAAGAUUUAUCGGUGAUGGAUGGGGAUGCGUCUGAUUAGCUUGUUGGCGGGGUAACGGCCCACCAAGGCGACGAUCAGUAGGGGUUCUGAGAGGAAGGUCCCCCACACUGGAACUGAGACACGGUCCAAACUCCUACGGGAGGCAGCAGUGAGGAAUAUUGGUCAAUGGGCGAGAGCCUGAACCAGCCAAGUAGCGUGCAGGAUGACGGCCCUAUGGGUUGUAAACUGCUUUUAUAAGGGAAUAAAGUGGAGGUCGUGACCUCUUUUGCAUGUACCUUAUGAAUAAGGACCGGCUAAUUCCGUGCCAGCAGCCGCGGUAAUACGGAAGGUCCGGGCGUUAUCCGGAUUUAUUGGGUUUAAAGGGAGCGUAGGCCGGAGAUUAAGCGUGUUGUGAAAUGUAGUUGCUCAACAUCUGCACUGCAGCGCGAACUGGUUUCCUUGAGUACGCACAAAGUGGGCGGAAUUCGUGGUGUAGCGGUGAAAUGCUUAGAUAUCACGAAGAACUCCGAUUG
rnacentral:rRNA from 1 species